UACAGAGGGUGCGAGCGUUAAUCGGAAUUACUGGGCGUAAAGCGUGCGUAGCCGGUUUCGUAAGUCGGGUGUGAAAUCCCCAGGCUUAACCUGGGAACUGCAUCUGAUACUGGAUGGCUUGAAUCCGGGAGAGGGAUGCAGAAUUCCAGGUGUAGCGGUGAAAUGCGUAGAUAUCUGGAGGAAUACCGGUGGCGAAGGCGGCAUCCUGGACCGGCAUUGACGCUGAGGAGCGAAAGCUAGGGGAGCAAACGGG
rnacentral:rRNA from 1 species